rnacentral:rRNA from 1 species
UACGGAGGAUGCGAGCGUUAUCCGGAUUUAUUAGGUUUAAAGGGUGUGUAGGCGGGUUGUUAAGUCAGUGGUGAAAUCUCAGAGCUUAACUCUGAAACUGCCAUUGAUACUGGUAAUCUUGAGUACAGUUGAAGUAGGCGGAAUGUGUAAUGUAGCGGUGAAAUGCUUAGAUAUUACACAGAACACCGAUUGCGAAGGCAGCUUACUAAGCUGUUACUGACGCUGAUGCACGAAAGCGUGGGGAGCGAACAGGAUUAGAUACCCUGGUAGUCCACGCUGUAAACGAUGAUUACUCGUUGUUGGCGAUAUAUUGUCAGCGACUGAGCGAAAGCAAUAAGUAAUCCACCUGGGGAGUACGGUCGCAAGACUGAA